GUGGUAAUGCCGGAUGUUCCACAUGAUCGCAUGUGAUUGUGGGAAAGAUUCUAUCGGCGUGGGAUGGGGUCGCGUCCUAUCAGCUUGUUGGUGAGGUAACGGCUCACCAAGGCUUCGACGGGUAGCCGGCCUGAGAGGGCGACCGGCCACAUUGGGACUGAGAUACGGCCCAGACUCCUACGGGAGGCAGCAGUGGGGAAUAUUGCACAAUGGGCGCAAGCCUGAUGCAGCGACGCCGCGUGAGGGAUGGAGGCCUUCGGGUUGUAAACCUCUUUUGUUUGGGAGCAAGCCUUCGGGUGAGUGUACCUUUCGAAUAAGCGCCGGCUAACUACGUGCCAGCAGCCGCGGUAAUACGUAGGGCGCAAGCGUUAUCCGGAUUUAUUGGGCGUAAAGGGCUCGUAGGCGGCUCGUCGCGUCCGGUGUGAAAGUCCAUCGCUUAACGGUGGAUCUGCGCCGGGUACGGGCGGGCUGGAGUGCGGUAGGGGAGACUGGAAUUCCCGGUGUAACGGUGGAAUGUGUAGAUAUCGGAAAGAACACCA
rnacentral:rRNA from 1 species